AUGGCUGGCGGCGUUGACCGCCUGUCCGACCUCCCCGACGAGCUCCUCCUGCGCGUCCUCCACUUCGUCCCAGGCAAGCAGGCCGCCGCCACGACCGCGCUCUCGCGGCGAUGGCGCUCGCCGCUCUGGCGGUCCUCAGGCGCCGUAAACCUAGAGACGUAUGUCGAGGACUGGGGCUACUACACGCACAUAUUCAACGAUAGUGGUGGAGAAUGGGACGACCGCCUCUUCUUGUCCCGGCGCGACGCCUUCGUGUCCGCGGCCGAGGCGGCGCUCGACGCCGCCGACGUCCCCGUCACGAGGCUCACCCUUCGUGUCACCGGCCACAACUGCAUCGACUUGUUCCUGAACGGUCACUGGGAUGUGAAUUUGCCGUCGCCCUGGUCUCCGCACCAGGGCGCGCUCGCCAAACUGCUCUCCCACCGGGCGGCGCGCCGCGUCGAGGAGCUCCGGCUCGACGUAUACAACGUCUACUCGGACGACCAGACCAGUAGUCUCAGCUCCCUCGGCCUCGACGUGCUCAACCUAGGCUCCGUGCAGUCUGAGAACCUCCGCGUGCUGGACCUCACCAACUGCCGCGAACUCGUUCCGCCGGCCUCCGCGGUUGUGUUCCCGCGCCUUUCGUCGCUGCGGCUGCACCAUGGCACCGUCCGGCUCGACGCCCUCCAGAGCCUCAUCUACGCUGCGCCUGCGCUCAUCACCGUCCACUUUGAGUCCCUCAUCAUCUCACCACCAACAGAUGGUGUGCCGGACUAUAGUUUGCCCAAUCAGUCGAUCUACCGCCAGUGGAAAGCCUACGCUCCACCUCUGCCGCCCGCACAAGCCCUGCUCCGUCUCCCUGUGGUCACCAUGCUCGUCCUGGAUGGGUGCAACUGGAAGGACAAGGAUGUCUCACGACGAGACUACAUAGCGGACAAGGCCGGCGUUGUCCCCGUGGAGAUCCACGCGCCGAGGCUACGUUGGUUCAGUUAUAAGGGGCUUCUCCGGCCGUUCUCACUAAGCCCGCUGCCGCCGGACUUGGCACAUGCCGACCUGCAUUUUGUCCCGCGCGCCCGCGAUGAUAGAGUGAACAAAACACUGCCCGAACACAAGGAAACCAACGAGGAUCCAUGCCGCGGCGAGGCCAGCCUCAAGACCUUUUGGCGAUUCCUUCACAACUUCACGAGCGUCAAGGAGCUGAAGCUAAACGUAAACCAUCUCGAGGACAUGGCUGUGCUCACCGAGGCAAGGAGGGCCGAGCUCCUACCCACAUUCUCCAUCCUCAAGCGCCUUGACCUGCACAGAGUGCAUAUGCCACAAGGUAAGACGGCGACAGUGGCAAUCGCAGACCUGCUCCGCUGCUGCCCCACACUCCGCAGCCUCCGGAUCAACCACACCGCGGUGCACCAGUGCACCACUACGCCAUGGUUGUUGAAGAAAUGUUUAUUGAUGGAGGAAACACGAAGUUGUGGGAGCACAUGA
rnacentral:rRNA from 1 species